AAGCCCGGUAAGCUCCGCCCCCAGUGCGCUCGUCAAUAUAGGCUGAAAAGUCAGCGUAACUAGUAAA
rnacentral:rRNA from 1 species